rnacentral:sRNA from 1 species
AAAAAAAAAUGAAAAAAAAAUUCUUGUAAAUAUUAUA